rnacentral:lncRNA from 1 species
CACCGAUGAGUUAAAAAAGAUAUUUCAACUUUUAUGCAAAAAAAUGGCAUUUUUGCACCAUAGGCAGAUAAUUUGGAGCUUUUUCAAUGAUAUAUACAUUUAACUAGAGGCUCUAAAGAGCCUGUGUCCCUCACCUUGGUCUAUGUGAAUAUUAAACAAAAGAAGCAGGUAGAUUCAUGACAAAAUUGUGUUUUGGUGAUGGUGAUGUGUUUGUACAUCUUAAUUUACUAAACAGUCUUGCUGCUUAUAAUUAUCUCUAUCUAUAAUGAACUUGGCCCAGUAGUUUCAGAGGAAAAUGUUAAUAAAAAUUUACAAAUUUUAUGAAAAUUGUUAAAAAUUGACUAUAAAGGACAAUAACUCCUUAGGGGGUCAAUUGACCAUUUUGGUCAUGUUGACUUAUUUGUAAAUCUUACUUGCUGAACAUUAUUACUGUUUACAGUUUAUCUCUAUCUAUAAUAAUAUUCAAGAUAAUAACCAAAAACAGCAAAUUCGUCCGAUUCAUCUGAAAAUGUCAGAGCAGAUAGAUUUUGACCUGAUAAAUAAUUUUACCCCAUGUCAGAUUUGCUCUAAAUGCUUUGGUUUUUGAGUUAUAAGCCAAAAACUACAUUUUACCCCUAUGUUCUAUUUUUAGCCGUGGCGGCCAUCUUGAUUUGAUGGCCGGAUCACGCCACACAUUUUUUAAACUAAAUACCCAAAAGAUGAUUGUGGCCAAGUUUUGUACCAUAUGAACUAAUAAAGUAAUAAAUUAAAUUUGUAAUGAAAAUUUUUUUUUUAAAAAUUGCUGAAAUUUUUGUAUCCUCCAUUUUAGAGGCUCUUACUGCUAAUUGUGUAUGUGGAUUUUCUCAUCGUUGAAGUCCAUACAGUAACCUAUUUUACAUCAAAAUCAUUUGGUCUCUGUAGGAUAGUUGUCUCACAUCUCUUGAUAUCAUAACAAAACAACUUGUGGGUUCUAUACCAAAAAGGACCUAUACUUUUUAAACUGCCAUUCCAAUUUUUGUUUGUUUUAAAUAUGAUAAAUUUAGAAGACUUUAAGGCUGGGGUAAUGAAAAAUAUCAAAAUAAUCCCACCCUCAAUGUUUAUUAUCUAGAACUCUGUUUACUAUUUUGUUCUCAUAUUAUUUUUUGGUAUUUUCUUUUUUUAAAUAUUUUUUUUUCUUUUUUUUUUCACAGAGCUCUAGAUAAUAAAAAUAUCAGAUGUUAAAGGUUGGAGGUAUAAAAAAAGUCAUUCUAAAUCAGAAUAUUGAAAAUUUUUAAUUUUAGUGGAUUUUCUCAUUGUUGAAGCCCAUACAGUUACCUAUUUUACAUCAACAUCAUUUGGUCUCUGUAGGAUAGUUGUCUCACAUCUCUUGAUAUCAUAACAAAUCAAUUUGUAGGUUCUAUAAAGUGGGCCAAUGAUGAAGGUAGGGAAAAUUCUGAUUGCCAACGGAGAGGAGGAUAAUAUUGGACAGAAAGUUAGCCUUGCAACAAGCCACGUCUUACUGACACAUUAAAAGAGUUGUGGCAAGGGUUCUUUAAUGUGCAGAGUUGCACUGUCCCUACAAAUAGGACCUAAACUUUUUAUUUAAAUUGCUUUUCCAAUUUUUGUUCAUUUUAAACAUGAUAACUUUAGAAGACUUUUAGACAGGGGUCAUAAAAAAUAUUAAAAUAAUCCCACUUUUUAGACCACCCUCAAUGUUUAUUAUCUAGAACUCUGUUAACUAUUUUGUUUUCAUAUUAUUUUUUGGUAUUUCUUUUUUAUAUAUUUUUUUUUCUUUUUUUUCACAGAGCUCUAGAUAAUAAAAAUAUCAGAUGUUAAAGGUAACAUGUAUUAACAAAGUCAUUCUCAAUCAGAAUAUUGCAAAAUAAUAAGACAAUUUUAGAGUGGAAAAUAUGGAGAAGAUAGGUUUUGACUCCAAAUAUCUCUAGUUAAAAGAAUGUAUUUCCAUUUAUAUAUUCCAACUUGGAAGCCAUUUUAAAGCAAAAAAAAUGUAGAUUGACAAAGAAAAAACAUUUUAUCAUUUUCUUUUGUCAUGUUAUUGACAUUAUAAUACAGUUCCCUUUCCGCUUUUCUCUCUGAACAAACCCAUCCAUUUCAAUUUUUAGUGACCCCUGCAUAAAAUAAAUUGAUAAAAAAAAGUGGCAAAUAGUUCAUGCAUGAUCAGGACGAGAACAACUAAACAAUAAAUGCAAUAGGUAGGUCUUGUAAUUAUAGAAGGCAUCAUGAUAGUCUGGGAAAUUUGGACUGCCACUGGAAAAUGAGGGUAUAUUGGAUAGGGACAAAAAUUUUGUCAUGCAACAGGCUACCUACGGACCCCUCAAAGAGUUGUUGCAAGGGUUCUUAGCGUGCAAAGACCAUGGGACCCUCUUUACAUGAAGCAUCAGAUUGGCUGCAAACUUGAUACAUCCUGCACAGCCAAACGGAUGCCCCACUUUGGCAAGCAAUUUACUGCCGGUCAGAAGAAGACCAAGUGACUAUAUUUCUAUUCCCCAGUCACCCUUGGGGGGGGGGGAUAAGAACAUGAAUAAUUCAAAAGACUUUUUUACUCAUAUUAUUUGUAACAUAAAUUGUGAUUGUUUGAAAUUUGAAAUUAUUCUUAAUUCUUCUUGGUUUAAUAAUCUUCUCCAUGUUUGUAAUAAGAUUUUAAUUCUAAAAUAAAUUUGAACUGAUAUUGAAAUUUGCAAUUUAGUACAAUUGACCCCCUUAAGGAGGAUUAUGCCAUCAUAUAUAUUACCUACAAUAGAAUUUUCUCAUACUUUGCCAAAAUCUAAAAACAUAAGUAAGGGUCAUCAUUAUCACUGUGAACAUAUCAUGGCUGGUGGACUUUUCCUUCUUGAAAGUAUCACUAGCAAAUUGCAAGUAGCCAGUACUUUAGUAAAGGUGUGGAAAUAAAUGAAAUUGCUGUUAUAUUUUAAAUUUUGAAAAUCUUUUUUUUAAAUCAGAAGAAUAUCUCUGUAGUGCAUAGUUCUGAACCUCAAGGUUUUACUAUAUCUCUAGUGCAUAGUUCUGAAUCUCAAGGUUUAACUAUAUCUCUGUAGUGCAUAGUUCUGAACCUCAAGGUUUUACUAUAUCUCUGUAGUGCAUAGUUCUGAAUCUCAAGGUUUUACUAUAUCUCUGUAGUGUAUAGUUCUGAAUCUCAAGGUUUAACUAUAUCUCUGUAGUGCAUAGUUCUGAACCUCAAGGUUUUACUAUAUCUCUGUAGUGCAUAGUUCUGAAUCUCAAGGUUUUACUAUAUCUCUGUAGUGUAUAGUUCUGAAUCUCAAGGUUUAACUAUAUCUCUGUAGUGCAUAGUUCUGAAUCUCAAGGUUUUACUAUAUCUCUGUAGUGCAUAGUUCUGAAUCUCAAGGUUUUACUUUAUCUCUGUAGUACAUAGUUCUGAAUCUCAAGGUUUAACUAUAUCUCUGUAGUGCAUAGUUCUGAAUCUCAAGGUUUUACUAUAUCUCUGUAGUGCAUAGUUCUGAAUCUCAAGGUCUUAAACUUUUUUGUUUAAAGUUCCUCAAUGUAUGUAUUGGGUUUUGACUCAAUUCCAAUACUCUAGCCUCAAAUAUCCAUACCUGCCAACUGUCACUAUUUGGGGGGGAUUUCCCCCAUGGAGGCUCUCAAAUUGAAAUUUUGAAAGAUCAAUUUUAAAUUUUGUCCACAAUUUUAAACAAAACAGUUAAUUUUACAAUGACUCUAGGCUUAUAAAAGCAUGAAGCCAAAAAACAACAUUAAAAUGUAUUUGAAUGCCCCCUUGAAGAUUUUUAGGACUAUGACAGCCAUCUUGCAAGCAAAACCCCCAUGGGCAUUUUGAUAAGUUGGCAGAUAUGAAUAUCACUGGUGAGAUUUUCUUGAAAUAAUUUCAAAAUGAAUUUCUCAAAAGUUUUCUGAUCAUUUUUGGUUAAAAAAUAUUCAUAAUUUCCUGAAAUAACAGUUUUG